rnacentral:rRNA from 1 species
UACGGGGGGGGCAAGCGUUGUUCGGAAUUACUGGGCGUAAAGGGCUCGUAGGCGGCCAACUAAGUCGGACGUGAAAUCCCUCGGCUUAACCGGGGAACUGCGUCUGAUACUGGAUGGCUUGAGUUCGGGAGAGGGAUGCGGAAUUCCAGGUGUAGCGGUGAAAUGCGUAGAUAUCUGGAGGAACACCGGUGGCGAAGGCGGCAUCCUGGACCGACACUGACACUGAGGAGCGAAAGCCAGGGGAGCAAACGGG